UGAUGCUUAGAGAAAUUACAAAGGCGGGAGGAGGUGAGCUAAGCGGAGUAGUUAACUCUGACACACACACACACACACACACACACAUACACACACACACACACACACACACACACACACACACACCCCUCAAUUGCACCAAGUCAAUCUAUUUCAGACUUAUUUUUUCCUAACGGAUUGCUGACAUUGGAUCCUGCAGAUGAGCUGCUGCUGACCAUUGUUGGGAGUUGGACUACAGACGGUCUCCAGCAGAAGGUAUAGCCCAGAUUAAAGUGUGUGCGACCACACCUUUCAUCCCAGAUGACCUUGAACUCAGAGAUCUCCCUGUCUUAAUCUUCUGGGAUUCAGAGCCACUAUGCCUCAAGAUCUCCAUGCCAAAAUCCAGAGUUUAUGAACAGCUGCCAUGGCUCAAAGGUAACUCAAAAUGUGAGAUCAAGGAAAUCAGUUGUUCAAGAUCAGCCUUCACUACCUGUUGUGAGUUGGAAGCUAGCCUAAGCUACAAGAGGUCCCGUCUCGAAACAGCGCCACGUUUUCUGCUGACAGCGCUCUCAGCCCUUGCCGCUCUGGUCUUAUUUCUAAUUAGUCCUGGAAAGUGUCAUAUCUUCCCGUCCUCAAGAUUCCCGUCCUCAAGAUGGAGUUUUCAUGGUUUCUUA
rnacentral:lncRNA from 1 species